rnacentral:rRNA from 1 species
AGGCUGAAACUCGCCUAUAUNAAGUCGGAAUUGCUAGUAAUCGCGGAUCAGCAUGCCGCGGUGAAUACGUUCCCGGGCCUUGUACACACCGCCCGUCACACCAUGAGAGUCGAUAACACCCGAAGCCUGUAGUCUAACCAUAUGGGGGACGCAGUCGAAGGUGGGAUUGAUAAUUAGGGUGAAGUCGUAACAAGGUAAC